UUUUCCUGGGUUUCUCCCAUGUAUACAUGUUAUAACGCAGCUUGAUUUUCUCCUGUUAUUCCAUCUCAUGUUAAUUUAAUUUGUAGACUGGCCAGAAAGACCUAGAGGGUAGAGGAGUUGUCUUCCUCCCCCACAGUUUGGACACAAGGAUGGGAUAAAACUUCACUGGCUGGAUGCUGCUUGCUCCUGGACUACUGUGGCUGACAGAUCUUGGAAGCCUGACAAGAGAUGGCAAGAGGUUAAGAGUUCUUACCGUGUCAGUCUCCUGGAUAUCUGCCUGCAGGGGCCAAUGGAAGUGAGAAUGGUUCAAAGUUGCAACAAAAUGUCACUUUUAAGAAGUUGAGUAAACACAGAAUGAGAAGCCCUAGAGCAAGUUGCUGAGUUAAUAGACAGGAUCAUCACUUUUUGAAUACAUAUGAACCAGCUCCUUGUAGAACUAGCAGAGGGCCUGUUAAUGGCCUUUUGUUUUAAGGAUGUGGAUUGAUAUUCCAGGGACAGGACUGAUGAGAGCCCUCCUAACAACUGCCUCUCAUAGCCUGUUACUGAAACAGCAGCCUUGCAAGCAAGUAUAAUCUCACAUAAAUCAAAACACUAGAAUGUGAGCUUCAUAAGGACAGAGACUUUGUGUUGGGUCACUGCUGUAUCUGCAGUGGAAAAUAGUAGGUGUUCAAUAACUAUUUCUUGAAUGAAUUGAAUGAAUGAAAACCUUGACCUUUCCUUUAAAGAGGAUUAACACUAAAAGCAAAACAAAAAUAUAGCAGGGUUUCCUGCUUCCUGUUGGAUUUCUGACCCUCAGAAUACUGGUAAGCAGGUAAGCAGGGCUGAGAAGCAGCAUGUGAAGGGCAUGAGGACAAAUACAUACACGAAGGAAGUAUUUAGAAGUCAUGAAUUUGGUUAGUAUCCACAGGAAUGUGUGGUGUGGAGUGGUGCCUAAUGUAAUUCGGAUUCAUGCGCAUGUGUCACAUUUGAGUUACAAAUAUUUUGUUGAGUAUCUGCCUAACUCUAGUGUCAAUACUUACACUUUUUUCUUCCCAGGGUUUUCAGAAAUCUUUUACCUGUGGUCAAAUGUCAUCAAGUGACACUUUUCUUAAGUGAAACUCUGCAUACAUUUAGCUUAUUUUUAACAGUUUCUAAUCAAGCUUUGAUGGGCUAAAAUAAUCAGUUUGACAUGAUCCAUUUCAUAGGUGGAGUUGACUAUAUAGCAUUACUUAUAAUUUAACUCACAACCUCAGAUAGUGGAUUAAGAUAAUAUAAGAUUCUUGGAACUAUGCCUGACUUAAAUAUAAAUAAUAUUUGUUUUUACAGCCAUAGCAAACAUUUUUUGAAAACAGAAAGAAGUCCCUUUUUAUAACAUAGGCAAGCUAAUAAUCUGAAUAGGAAAGAAUUCAUUUGUACACACUGUAAGUUUUCCUAAUUAUCUAGGUAAUGAAAACUGAGAAGCUAUUAGUCAUCCUUGGCUAAGCCAUACUCAAUUCUACUUGUCUUUUCUAAAUAUAAUAAAAGCAGCAAACAACCUUAAAGUACAUUAUUAAUUGAUUAGAGACGAUUUCUUAAAAUGGUUUACAUCAUCUCUUUUAACUUUGGAGCUUCCAGACAUUAACAAUGAGUCACCAAAAAGCUAUCAUUGAUUUAUAAUGCGCAUUACUACAUCAGGCUUGGACAAAGAACUCUGUGUGGGCCCAGAAAGAAAAAGAAAAAUGUUUACAAAUGAGCCAUGGCAGAAAUACACUGAAAACAUAUACCUGUAUUCACAGAAAACAGUUAGGCAUAACGCCAUUAGGGCGAACAUUCAGGUUCAUUUUAUUCCAAGGAACUGUUCCUACUCUUGAAGCUCCUUGUAGAAAAAAGUCCUUAUGGUUAGAACACUAUUGAGGGUGGUAUAAUUUUGCUUGGCCCUUGGACAUGUAAGGUAAACGUUUUACAUUAUUGCACACUAACAAAAAUUUACAGCCAUAGAAAACACAGGAUCUGAUCAACGUUAACACAUUGGGGGUUUAAGGCUAACCCACAUUGGAAAGUAAUCAUUUCCAGGAUGGAGAUCAAAUAUCAACACAGUGUCUGUCACUUGUCUGAGGUGCCAGAAAAGAUUUCUUAUUUAAAAAUCGAUUUAUAGGAUGUAUUUUCACAUUUGUCAAUUUCUUUUCACAUGUGUGCUAGACGGAGGCACUUUAAGAGUUAUUAACUGUAGUUUCAGGAGUACAAGACAGUUUCAGCAGUCGUUGGUAAAGACGGCAAGGAAUUAAAAUGAAAUUGGAUUAAAAAGAAAGUAAACAAAUCAUUAAAUCAGAAAAUUUCCCCAAAUCUUUUAAAACUCAUUAGUUUCUGAUUGGAAGAACUUCCUCACUAAAAAAAUAAAAUAAAAUA